rnacentral:rRNA from 1 species
GACGAACGCUGGCGGCGUGCUUAACACAUGCAAGUCGAACGGAAAGGCCCUGCUUUUGUGGGGUGCUCGAGUGGCGAACGGGUGAGUAACACGUGAGUAACCUGCCCUUGACUUUGGGAUAACUUCAGGAAACUGGGGCUAAUACCGGAUAGGAGCUCCUGCUGCAUGGUGGGGGUUGGAAAGUUUCGGCGGUUGGGGAUGGACUCGCGGCUUAUCAGCUUGUUGGUGGGGUAGUGGCUUACCAGGGCUUUGACGGGUAGCCGGCCUGAGAGGGUGACCGGCCACAUUGGGACUGAGAUACGGCCCAGACUCCUACGGGAGGCAGCAGUGGGGAAUAUUGCACAAUGGGCGGAAGCCUGAUGCAACAACGCCGCGUGCGGGAUGACGGCCUUCGGGUUGUAAACCGCUUUCGCCUGUGACGAAGCGUGAGUGACGGUAAUGGGUAAAGAAGCACCGGCUAACUACGUGCCAGCAGCCGCGGUGAUACGUAGGGUGCGAGCGUUGUCCGGAUUUAUUGGGCGUAAAGGGCUCGUAGGUGGUUGAUCGCGUCGGAAGUGUAAUCUUGGGGCUUAACCCUGAGCGUGCUUUCGAUACGGGUUGACUUGAGGAAGGUAGGGGAGAAUGGAAUUCCUGGUGGAGCGGUGGAAUGCGCAGAUAUCAGGAGGAACACCAGUGGCGAAGGCGGUUCUCUGGGCCUUUCCUGACGCUGAGGAGCGAAAGCGUGGGGAGCGAACAGGCUUAGAUACCCUGGUAGUCCACGCUGUAAACGGUGGGUACUAGGUGUGGGGUCCAUUCCACGGGUUCCGUGCCGUAGCUAACGCUUUAAGUACCCCGCCUGGGGAGUACGGCCGCAAGGCUAAAACUCAAAGGAAUUGACGGGGCCCCGCACAAGCGGCGGAGCAUGCGGAUUAAUUCGAUGCAACGCGUAGAACCUUACCUGGGUUUGACAUGGAUCGGGAGUGCUCAGAGAUGGGUGUGCCUCUUUUGGGGUCGGUUCACAGGUGGUGCAUGGCUGUCGUCAGCUCGUGUCGUGAGAUGUUGGGUUAAGUCCCGCAACGAGCGCAACCCUUGUUCACUGUUGCCAGCACGUUAUGGUGGGGACUCAGUGGAGACCGCCGGGGUCAACUCGGAGGAAGGUGGGGAUGACGUCAAGUCAUCAUGCCCCUUAUGUCCAGGGCUUCACGCAUGCUACAAUGGCUGGUACAGAGAGUGGCGAGCCUGUGAGGGUGAGCGAAUCUCGGAAAGCCGGUCUCAGUUCGGAUUGGGGUCUGCAACUCGACCUCAUGAAGUCGGAGUCGCUAGUAAUCGCAGAUCAGCAACGCUGCGGUGAAUACGUUCCCGGG